AGAGUUUGAUCCUGGCUCAGGAUGAACGCUAGCGGUGUGCCUAAUGCAUGCAAGUCGAACGGGAGCCUUGGAUUCGUCUGAGGUGAGAGUGGCGAACGGGUGAGUAACACGUAGGUGACCUGCCCUAGAGAGGGAGACAACCAGUGGAAACGCUGGCUAAUACCCCGGAUGUCAAUGAGAUUAGAAGGCAUUGACUAAAGUAGCGGAUAAAACUGCUGCGCUCUGGGAGGGGCCUGCGACCCAUCAGCUAGUUGGUAGGGUAACGGCCUACCAAGGCAGAGACGGGUAGGGGGCGUGAGAGCGUGGCCCCCCACACUGGUACUGACACACGGACCAGAUACCUACGGGUAGCAGCAGCAAGGAAUAUUCCGCAAUGGGCGCAAGCCUGACGGAGCGACGUCGCGUGGUUGAUGAAGUCCUUCGGGACGUAAAGACCUUUUAUCGGGGAGAAAACCGGUUUACCGGUGUGAUAGUACUCGAUGAAUAAGGGGUUGCUAAACUCGUGCCAGCAGCAGCGGUAAUACGAGUGCCCCAAGCGUUAUCCGGAAUUAUUGGGCGUAAAGGGUGUGUAGGUGGCUCUAUUAGUCGGUUGUUAAAGCUCCCCGCUUAACGGGGAAAAUGCGACCGAAACGGUAGAACUAGAGGAGGUGAGGGGUCUAUGGAACUCAUGGUGUAGGGGUGAAAUCCGUUGAUAUCAUGGGGAACACCAAAAGCGAAGGCAGUAGACUGGCGCCUAACUGACACUGAAACACGAAAGCGUGGGGAUCAAACGGGAUUAGAUACCCCGGUAGUCCACGCCCUAAACGAUGAUAUCUAGCUUUUCGGAGUAUCGACCCUCUGAGAGGCAAAGCUAACGCGUUAAGAUAUCCGCCUGGGAGGUACGGCCGCAAGGCUAAAACUCAAAAGAAUAGACGGGGACUUGCACAAGCGGUGGAUCAUGCGGUUUAAUUCGAUGAUAAACGAAGAACCUUACCAGGGUUUGAAACCCAGUUGAAGUCCGAGCGAAAGCACGGAUGUCUCACAAGGACAAUUGGGCAGGUGUUGCAUGGCUGUCGUCAGUUCGUGGCUUGAGCUGUUCCCUUAAGUGGGGAAACGAACGCAACCCUUGUGGCCUGUUAUAAGUGUCAGGCCAGACUGUCCAUCUCUGAUGGAAGGAAGCGAGGAUGACGCCAAGUCAGCAUGACCCUCUGAUAUCCUGGGCCACACGCAUGAUACAAUGGCCACUACAAUAAGUUGCGAUGCCGUAAGGCGGAGCCAAUCUAUAAAAGUGGUCUCAGUUCGGAUUGAGGGCUGCAAUUCGCCCUCAUGAAGUUGGAAUCGCUAGUAAUCGCGGGUCAGCUAUACCGCGGUGAAUACGUUCUCAAGUCUUGUACUCACCGCCCGUCAAGCCAAGGGAGCCGGGAAUACCCCAAGUGUCGCUUCGGCGGCCCCAAGGUAAGUUCGGUGACAAGGGUUAAGUCGUAACAAGGUAACC
rnacentral:rRNA from 1 species